GGGCAUUUAGCUCAGAUGGCAGAGCGUACGCUUCGCAGCUCGCAACUUGCGUAAGGCCCAGGGUUCAAUUCCCUGAAUGUCCA